GUUUUCUCUUCCUCCUCUGUUAUCAAAGCUCACAUCAUUGUGUGUUAUCUGCUGCCUGGGUUGUCCACUCGUUUGGUGGUUAGUGGGCAAGUGGAAGCAAUUUCCUCAAACGAAACGACCCAAGGUGAAUAAGCGAAUCGAGAUGAUGAGGACUACAACUCCCAUGAUCCCAUACUACUUCAAGUGGUGAUCAAACUAUGUCUUAGCACGGGGCCGAGGGCCGACCAGAGGGCCCCUGAGUCACAUGACUCACACUGACCAAUGGGGGCUGGAAGAGGGAAGCAAAGCAAAACCAACCAAAAAGAUGACCGGUCUGGCUGGCCCCGUGUCUCGAGGUCACAGGCGAGCGGCGGUGACAUCAGCGACAUGAUGAGCUCACUUCCUCCUCAGACCGACCACACCGCCGUGCGUCUGGAGAGAGGAAACACACUGUCUGUCUGUCUGUCUGUCUGUCUGUCUGUCUGUCUGUCUGUCUGUCUGUCUGUCUGUCUGUCUGUCUGUCUGUCUGUCUGUCUGUCUGUCUGUCUGUCUGUCUGCCUGUCUGUCUGCCUGUCUGUCUGUCUAGGGGAAUUUCUAUCAGCGAUGUUUGACUCUGUUUGCAUAUAAGUUCUGCUUCCUCUGUAUUUGUUAACAUUAAGGGUCCCAGAUGAAAUCAUGUGAUGUUGAGAAAUAGUUGUCUACAAUAGAGGUCAAGAGAGAUUCAAAUUAAAGGAAAUGAUGCAAAGUAUGAAG
ensembl:lncRNA